rnacentral:rRNA from 1 species
AUACGGAGGGUGCGAGCGUUACUCGGAGUCACUGGGCGUAAAGCGUCCGUAGGCGGUCGGGUAAGUCGGGUGUGAAAGCCCCGGGCUCAACCUGGGAAGUGCACCCGAUACUGCUCGACUCGAGUACGGGAGAGGAUGGCGGAAUUCCCGGUGUAGCGGUGAAAUGCGUAGAGAUCGGGAGGAACACCAGUGGCGAAGGCGGCCAUCUGGCCCGCAACUGACGCUGAGGGACGAAAGCGUGGGGAGCAAACAGGAUUAGAAACCCUAGUAGUCC